rnacentral:rRNA from 1 species
GGGUUGUGAGGUUAAGCGACUAAGCGUACACGGUGGAUGCCCUGGCAGUCAGAGGCGAUGAAGGACGUGCUAAUCUGCGAUAAGCGCCGGUAAGGUGAUAUGAACCGUUAUAACCGGCGAUUUCCGAAUGGGGAAACCCAGUGUGACUCGUCACACUAUCAUUAACUGAAUCCAUAGGUUAAUGAGGCGAACCGGGGGAACUGAAACAUCUAAGUACCCCGAGGAAAAGAAAUCAACCGAGAUUCCCCCAGUAGCGGCGAGCGAACGGGGAGGAGCCCAGAGCCUGAAUCAGCAUGUGUGUUAGUGGAAGCGUCUGGAAAGGCGCGCGAUACAGGGUGACAGCCCCGUACACAAAAGCGCAUGUGCUGUGAGCUCGAUGAGUAGGGCGGGACACGUGGUAUCCUGUCUGAAUAUGGGGGGACCAUCCUCCAAGGCUAAAUACUCCUGACUGACCGAUAGUGAACCAGUACCGUGAGGGAAAGGCGAAAAGAACCCCGGCGAGGGGAGUGAAAAAGAACCUGAAACCGUGUACGUACAAGCAGUGGGAGCACCCUUUGGGGUGUGACUGCGUACCUUUUGUAUAAUGGGUCAGCGACUUAUAUUCUGUAGCAAGGUUAACCGUAUAGGGGAGCCGGAGGGAAACCGAGUCUUAACCGGGCGUUA